CGGUGGGGGAUUAGUGGCGAACGGGUGAGUAACACGUGGGCAAUCUGCCCUGCACUCUGGGACAAGCCCUGGAAACGGGGUCUAAUACCGGAUAAUACUUCCUGGGGCAUCCUGGGGGGUUGAAAGCUCCGGCGGUGCAGGAUGAGCCCGCGGCCUAUCAGCUUGUUGGUGGGGUGAUGGCCUACCAAGGCGACGACGGGUAGCCGGCCUGAGAGGGCGACCGGCCACACUGGGACUGAGACACGGCCCAGACUCCUACGGGAGGCAGCAGUGGGGAAUAUUGCACAAUGGGCGGAAGCCUGAUGCAGCGACGCCGCGUGGGGGAUGACGGCCUUCGGGUUGUAAACCUCUUUCAGCAGGGAAGAAGCGUGAGUGACGGUACCUGCAGAAGAAGCGCCGGCUAACUACGUGCCAGCAGCCGCGGUAAUACGUAGGGCGCAAGCGUUGUCCGGAAUUAUUGGGCGUAAAGAGCUCGUAGGCGGCUUGUUACGUCGGUUGUG
rnacentral:rRNA from 1 species